UACAGAGGUCCCGAGCGUUGUUCGGAUUCAUUGGGCGUAAAGGGUGCGUAGGCGGCGCGGUAAGUCGGGUGUGAAAUCUCGGGGCUUAACUCCGAAACUGCAUUCGAUACUGCCGUGCUUGAGGACUGGAGAGGAGACUGGAAUUUACGGUGUAGCGGUGAAAUGCGUAGAUAUCGUAAGGAAGACCAGUGGCGAAGGCGGGUCUCUGGACAGUUCCUGACGCUGAGGCACGAAGGCCAGGGGAGCAAACGGG
rnacentral:rRNA from 1 species